rfam:Thiocystis violascens DSM 198, complete genome.
GAAAGCCGUGUGCGGGAGAACCGCAUGCACGGUUUGAUGAGGGAGGGCUGGGAGUCACAGCCAUGUCCUGGCUAUUUAGGCACCGCGAAACGAAAGGCGCGGUAACAGAUAAGCCAUGGCUACCGCGAUGGGCGACCUGCUCUCUACUCUAC